AAAUUGUUUUGUGACGAACACAUAGUACAAAAGUCUAUUUGACGACGAGGACGAGAUAAUUACAGCAGUGCAUGUAGGAGAGUGAGCCGAGCCGGACCGGUAUCUGCAGACCGACCAGCUUGCGAGCUGGUCUGUGUUCCUCGUCAACACACCGAGUUUGCUGUGCGUUGACAUGCAGCAGGCUCUGACUCUCCCAGUGCGUUGGGGGCUGUCAACUGAUAUUAUUUGACAAAAUGGUGGAGUGAUACCUGCAAUUGUUGCGCCCUGAGGGGCCUUUUAUUUUGUGGGAAAGGAUUGGGGAGGGACAGUGGAGAAGGAAGCCUGGCUUGGGUUUCUUGAAACCAUGUCGAGCGAAAACGACGUGAAUUUACUGGUGGCGACAGCGGAGCACAUGCAGAAGGCAAGCGAGGGAUUCCCUCCUUCUCCUCCUCAGCGUUGUUAGAGCACUUUAGGGAUUUUGUAGUAUCUGGCGAAGCA
rnacentral:lncRNA from 1 species